GUAGGUGGCAAGCGUUGUCCGGAAUUAUUGGGCGUAAAGCGCGCGCAGGCGGUUCUUUAAGUCUGAUGUGAAAGCCCACGGGCUCAACCGUGGAGGGUCAUUGGAAACUGGAGAACUUGAGUACAGAAGAGGAAAGCGGAAUUCCACGUGUAGCGGUGAAAUGCGUAGAGAUGUGGAGGAACACCAGUGGCGAAGGCGGCUUUCUGGUCUGUAACUGACGCUGAGGCGCGAAAGCGUGGGGAGCAAACAGGAUUAGAUACCCUGGUAGUCCACGCCGUAAACGAUGAGUGCUAAGUGUUAGGGGGUUUCCGCCCCUUAGUGCUGCAGCUAACGCAUUAAGCACUCCGCCUGGGGAGUACGGCCGCAAAGGCUG
rnacentral:rRNA from 1 species